GACGGAGGGUGCAAGCGUUGUUCGGAUUGACUGGGCGUAAAGGGCGUGUAGGCGGUUUGACAAGUCUGAUGUGAAAUCCCGCAGCUUAACUGCGGAACUGCAUUGGAAACUGUUUGACUAGAGGAAUGGAGGGGAGACUGGAAUACUUGGUGUAGCAGUGAAAUGCGUAGAUAUCAAGUGGAACACCAGUGGCGAAGGCGAGUCUCUGGACAUUUCCUGACGCUGAGGCACGAAAGCCAGGGGAGCAAACGGG
rnacentral:rRNA from 1 species